GUUGAAACACCGAUUCCCGUGCGAUUACCGAAGUUAAGCAACGUCGAGCCUGAUCAGUCCAUAUAUGGGUAACCUCUUGGGAAUACCAGAUACUGUAAG